rnacentral:lncRNA from 1 species
AAGUGUGCAAAAUUUGAAUUAAGAUCAACUGUUCAUUCAUUAGUUAUUGAGGUUUAAAUCUAUUGUAGAAAUUAUUAGGGUUUGGUUAGGAUUAGAUUUAGGAUUAGGAUUUGGUUAGAAUUUGAUUUAGGAUUAGGAUUUGAUUUAGGAUUUAGAGUUUGGUUAAGAUUUAGGAUUUGAUUAGGGUUUAAUUUAGGAUUAAGAUUUGAUUAAGAUUUGAUUUAGGAUUAGGUUUUAAUUAGAGUUUGAUUUAGGAUUUAAGACUAGGAUUAGGAUUUGAUUAGGAUUUGAUUUAGGGUUAGGAUUUAGGAUUUGAUUAGGAUUUGAUUUAGGAUUAGGAUUUGAUUAGGGUUUGGUUAAGAUUUGGUUUAGGAUUUAGGAUUAGGGCUAGGAUUUGGUUAAGAUUUGAUUUAGGAUUAGGAUUUAGGAUUUGAUUAGGGUUUGAUUUAGGAUUAGGAUUUAGUUAGGGUUUGGUUAGGAUUUGGUUUAGGAUUUAGGAUUAGGAUUAGGAUUUGGUUAGGAUUUGAUUUAAGUUUAGGAUUUGAUUUAGGAUUAGGAUUUAGGAUUUGAUUAGGGUUUGAUUCAGGAUUUAGGAUUUGAUUAGGAUUUAGGAUUUAGGAUUUUAUUUGAGUUUAUUUAGGAUAUAAGAUUUAAUUAGGUUUUGGCCUAAAGUUUGAAUGAAGUAAGAUUUCAACUAGGAUUAUAUUAAGAUUGAAUUGAGAUAUAUUUGAGAUAUGUUUGUAAUCAUUUUAAUAUUUCUUUAAGAUUUCUUAUUGUUUCUUUGGAAUUUCUUUGAGGUUUCUUUGAAUUUGAUUAAAGCUUGUUUAGUAUUGUUAGUGUUCUAUUAGAAUUAGGAUUUUUUUGUUGCAAUUUCCAUUCUACCUUCCACAUCCAGGUGCCUACAACAUUCUCAAGCAAG